rnacentral:rRNA from 1 species
GACGAACGCUGGCGGCGUGCUUAACACAUGCAAGUCGAGCGGUAAGGCCCUUUCGGGGGUACACGAGCGGCGAACGGGUGAGUAACACGUGGGUGACCUGCCCUCAGCUCUGGGAUAAGCCUGGGAAACCGGGUCUAAUACUGGAUAUGACUCCAUGACGCAUGUUGUGGGGUGGAAAGCCUUGUGCGGCUGAGGAUGGGCCCGCGGCCUAUCAGCUUGUUGGUGGGGUGANGGCCUACCAAGGCGACGACGGGUAGCCGGCCUGAGAGGGCGACCGGCCACACUGGGACUGAGACACGGCCCAGACUCCUACGGGAGGCAGGCAGUGGGGAAUCUUGCGCAA